AGAGUUUGAUUAUGGCUCAGGAUGAACGCUGGCGGCGCGCCUAACACAUGCAAGUCGAACGGUUAAGACCCCUUCGGGGGUGAAUAAAGUGGCGAACGGCUGAGUAACACGUGGGCAACCUACCUCUUGCUCUGGGAUAGCCUCGGGAAACCGUGGGUAAUACCGGAUACUCUGUAACUGUCGCAUGGCGGAUACAGGAAAGCGCAUACGGCAAGAGAUGGGCCCGCGGCCUGUUAGCUUGUUGGUGGGGUAACGGCCUACCAAGGCUAUUAUGGGUAGCUGGGUUGAGAGACCGACCAGCCAGAUUGGGACUGAGACACGGCCCAGACUCCUACGGGAGGCAGCAGUGGGGAAUCUUGCACAAUGGGCGAAAGCCUGAUGCAGCCGACGCCGCGUGCGGGAUGAAGGCCCUAUGGGUUGUAAACCGCUUUCAGCAGGGACGAGGCCGCAAGGUGACGGUACCUGCAGAAGAAGCCCCGGCUAACUACGUGCCAGCCGCUGC
rnacentral:rRNA from 1 species